rnacentral:rRNA from 1 species
AGGGAAUCUUCCACAAUGGACGAAAGUCUGAUGGAGCAACGCCGCGUGAGUGAUGAAGGUUUUCGGAUCGUAAAACUCUGUUGUAAGGGAAGAACCAGUACGUCAGGCAAUGGACGUACCUUGACGGUACCUUAUUAGAAAGCCACGGCUAACUACGUGCCAGCAGCCGCGGUAAUACGUAGGUGGCAAGCGUUGUCCGGAAUUAUUGGGCGUAAAGCGCGCGCAGGUGGUUUCUUAAGUCUGAUGUGAAAGCCCACGGCUUAACCGUGGAGGGUAAUGGAAACUGGGGAGACUGAGGUGAGGAGGGGAAAGUGGAAAUUCAAGGGUAGGGGGGAAAUGGGUAGAGAUUUGGAGGAACACCAGUGGCGAAGGCGACUUUCUGGUCUGCAACUGACGCUGAGGCGCGAAAGCAUGGGGAGCAAACA